GAUUUAACCGCGAACGGCGGUGACGCUACCGAGCGCAGAGCGGUGGGAAAAGCGAGGAGGGAUGAGCGAAGACAUCAGCGGGCGACCGAAACCCCUUCUCCUCCUCGUCGUCGCGAUUUCUCUUCGGUCGGUCUCAGGUCUGUCUGAUGAUCAUCCAGGUUCCAAGGAUGCAGUAAUUGCCGAUGCUAACCCUUCUAAUUCUAGUAGUAACACGAGGCGUGAGGUUUUGUUGAUAUGCUUGGGUGUUGUGGGAAUUGCACUUUUGUUUGUUUUUCUUCUCAAGCUUUGGGAGAAAAAGAAGAGGGAAGAGCAACAUGCUCGUCUUUUGAGACUGUUUGAAGAGGAUGAUGAACUGGAGCUUGAACUUGGUCUUCGAGACUGAGAGGCACGUCUUGCAGCUGUUUACACUAUCAUUGUUGAGGUAUGGCGAAUCUCCACAACAGAUUUUCUGCUUUGAGUGAUUAUAAGGGUUCUGCUAUAUCCAACACUUAGUCUCUACAAAUGAGGUCAUAUGUAUUUCUUUCUUUUUUUGUAGUGAAUGUUGUGGUACAAUGGAAGAAAACUCUUUCCUCAUCUCUGGUGAUGUAUUUUCAUCUGGUAACCGAGAACUGGUCUCUUUGUAUCGUUACUCUGAUGUCAUAUUUGUUGCAGUCUGAUGAUCAAAUCACAUGGACUGUGCCUCGAUAGGAGUCGCAAAAUGCGGGCUGCAAAUGAAAGCCUUGUUGGCAUGCUUCUUCGGAAUUGACUUCUCAGAACCACCCUUUGAUUCCAGGAACUCUUGCCAUGUCAAAUUUAUCAAGAUCAGACGCAGCUUCACCUUUGGAUGUGAAAUAAAGAAGCUGAUCCAGCGGCGAAGAAUUUAUUAUGAAUUCAUCUUCCGCAACAUGUUCUACUGAUUGCAUUGCACGAUUCGACCCUCACUCAUUUCCUCGACAUAUUGAAACAACAUCUGGUUCACAUUCUUCUGCUGUGAAUCUUGGGUUUUAAUAUAUUCGCAUCACUUGCUUUUUCAUGCAUCCAUGUAUUCGAUUCUCACGCCUCUUUAUCUGGUUUCAGAGGUACCUAAAUUUGCAUAUUUUGUAGACAAAGCGUUGGACCAUUGCAAAUGUCUCUGUUAUCAUUCAUCCUCGACUAUAUUCGAUGGUGUGUAUUUGGGAUCUCAUUCCUAUGGGAUGAGGGUUUAAACUCUCUUCGGA